GGGGUUGUGGCUCAGUGGGAGAGCAACUGUUUUGCAUGCAGAUCAGUCCAGGUUCAAUCCCUGUGAUCUCCA
rnacentral:tRNA from 1 species